UCUAUAUGGGUAAUAAAAUAAGUUUUCUUUCCUCUUCAUCUUCCUUCCCUCUCGUCUUCCCGUGUACUUUGACAUGAGAAUUAAAAUCAAAAGAGUUGUGAGAGAAGAACAAGCCAUGGAAGAAGAACAAGCUAGAGUUUUUCUUUUCUUUCUCUCAUCAUCGCUAAUUCAAGGGUUGAGUUUCUAUCUGGGUCUUGAUGUAAUAGGAGAAAUUGAGUUUUAGUUAACCCGUUGAACUAUUGCAGCAACACAUGCAAUGACUUGACGAAGCCUACAGCUGAUAAAAGUUCUUAAUUUUUCAGAGAUUUUGAAGAAAAAGAAAAAGAAGGUAUAUCCUUUAAUCUUGUUCCUGUAAUCAUACUUUGUCUUAUACCUGUAAUCGUACUUCGAUUUUAGAAUGUAUGAAGAUCUGUGUUAAUUGAUUUUAUAUUUAUCACUUGGGGAUCUCUAAAUUUUGAUGUAAUGGUUUAAAUAGAUUACAAUCGGGUGAUUCAUUCUAUUCCAUGAUUCUGGUAUUGGAAUCUAAAAUAAAUUAACUAACUCAAUUUUUGUGUACAUGAAUUGUACCAUCUUGUUUUGUAAUUUUGGGUUGCACAAGAUGGAAUGUCAUGUCUCUUGUAUUGAUUAUAUAUAUGUCACAUUAGGAUGCAUAUUUGGGUUUUGUGUAAACUGAUUUUGGUGGUGGUGGAUGUAUAGAAAAACUUAGACAUGGGAAGAAUAUGACAGCGAUCACUCCAUCAAAUGAGAUAGUGGACGUGAGUGAUAAAGCAGUCAAAUGGGGGUUCUUUGGUUCAUUGAUUCAAGUCUGUUGUAGGGGUAACUGAUUUGUCUUGCAAUCAAUUGAAUAAGGGAUGAUAUAGACGAUGUAAAAAGGGAACAUUUAAAUGGGGUGAUUUAAUGGAACGGUCAUAUCUGCAGCUAGGUUCCACAUGAUGUAAUUGGCUUAGCUCAUGUAACCAGUAUUGGCGCGACUUAGAAGGAUGGGGUCAGAGAUUAGAAAUGGUGCUCUAGACCCGUGGAUGGAAUUGGAAAGAAGGAAUUGUCUCUUUGCAAAUGCAGUGGAGAUUUUUUUUCUCCAGUAUCUACAGUUUUGGAUGGAAUUGUCUUAAUUAAAUGGUGGUGGUUUUAUGGGUGAUUCUCAUUCUGCAGACGUAAAUGAAGAUGAAAUCAAGAAGAGUGAUACUGAUGAUAAAAGAAUAUCGAUUUGGAUCAUAUUGGUCCGGAUUUAAUGCCGGGAAAUCAAACCCAAGACCUGAUUUUGCUGUUAUUCAAACAAGUGAUGAAUGAACGGGUGUUGAGAUGGUCUAUCUGCUUGCUUAGUCAAUUCUGUAGUGGGAGUUAUUGGUUGAGUCGGUUGCAGUCGAAUUUGGAAGGACAUGAAGUAGAAAUUGGUGUCGUGGUUAGACUUUAGAAGGGUCUGAAUUUGGAAAUUAGGCGGUGAUUGAAUUGGGCCUUCGACAAAUGAUUUACUAGAUCCGAAUUGGAGUCUCGCAGUACCUAUACUAAUGUUUUUGCAUUACAAUGUUUCAAAAAAUGAGAAAAAGAAGUUGGAGAAGCUCCUGCUCAAGGGACGCGAAAAUGCAACACCUACCCCAUCAGCUCCCGUGUCUGAAGCAAGAACUACAACUUCCAAACCAAGCGCUGCAUCUUUCUCGACUUUGAAGACAUCAACUUAGCUGACAACAACCUAUCUUAUGGAGCAGGACUAAAGAUAGGUUACACCUAAAUUGGAUCAGUUAGAAAGCCAUGGUUUCCUCAUUUUUUGAACUUGGAUAAGAAAAAACGGAUGUCAGUCUGAAAGUUAUGUUUGUUUUGGCUACAUAAAUUUGCUUUAGAACAAACAAAAAAAAAAACAAUUAUGUUCUGUUUUCUUAACAAUUAAUUCUCUAAUACCAAAUAUAUUUUAACUUC